UCAAUGUUAAGUUGAAUUUGAGAGAAAGAAAAAAAAAAAGGAAAAAAAAAGAGACAUGGUUAAAAAGUAUAAAUUCAUCAUUGGUAAAGAAGAUUUAAGAUCAAAAUGAGUGCAGCCUAUUGGUUGGGAGCACAUGGUGCAACCUGGGAGAAUCAAGGUAGCUGAUUGGUCAUUGAAACUCCACAUCUCCAAACUCCACCAGGUGUGUGUGAUUACUGGGAGCAAGAGGGAACUUUGUUUGCAGCAAAUGUGCUUCUCCUACUGAAGUUGGUGGGUUUGGUGUUCAAAAUACCAAAGGAGAAAGACUGUUGAAAAGCCACAAUGUUUCAUCAACUUUGAGAUGCAACUGGUUAUUAAGCUAACCUUCUGGAAUUAUCAUUGAGACAAGUACAAAAGAAGAUCUAGUCAAUGAUGAGAGAUUUUCAAUAAACUGCUUCUAUGAUGAAGAACCAGAUGGUUUGAGUUAUUCCAUGCACCUUCAGAGUUGAUUGAGGCCUUUUUCAAGUUUGGGCAGACAU